rnacentral:rRNA from 1 species
UACGUAGGGAGCAAGCGUUGUCCGGAAUCAUUGGGCGUAAAGAGCUCGUAGGCGGCUAAGUAAGUCGGGUGUGAAAACUCCAGGCUCAACCUGGAGACGCCACCCGAUACUGCUUUGGCUAGAGUCCGGUAGGGGAGCAUGGAAUUCCUGGUGUAGCGGUGAAAUGCGCAGAUAUCAGGAGGAACACCAGUGGCGAAGGCGGUGCUCUGGGCCGGAACUGACGCUGAGGAGCGAAAGCGUGGGGAGCAAACAGG